rnacentral:tRNA from 1 species
AUUCAAGGGAUGGGAAUCGAACCCACGACCUUCCGCUUACCGGGCAGAUGCCAUGACCACUAGGCUACCCUGGA